AUUGAACCAUGUUUGCAACGACAUCCUUUUACUUUUUGCUGCAAAAAGUAAAAGAUAGAGUGGAAAGCGGGAAUUAGC
rnacentral:sRNA from 1 species